rnacentral:rRNA from 1 species
UACGUAGGGGGCGAGCGUUAUCCAGAUUUACUGGGCGUAAAGAGCGCGCAGGCGGUCGUUCAAGUCGCGUGUGAAAGCCCCCGGCUCAACUGGGGAGGGUCACGCGAUACUGAUCGACUCGAAGGCAGGAGAGGGUAGUGGAAUUCCCGGUGUAGUGGUGAAAUGCGUAGAUAUCGGGAGGAACACCAGUGGCGAAGGCGACUACCUGGCCUGUUCUUGACGCUGAGGCGCGAAAGCUAGGGGAGCAAACGGG